GGGUCUCGCAGAGAAACCGGCGGACGGGUGAGUAACGCGUGGGAAUCUACCUCAAAGUUGGACAUAGCCCAUCGAAAGGUGGGGUAAUUUCCAAUGUGAACGCAAGUUUAAAGAUUUAUCGCUUUGAGAUGAGCCCGCGUCCUAUCAGUUUGUUGGUGGGGUAAUGGCCUACCAAGACGACGACGGGUAGCUGGUCUGAGAGGAUGGUCAGCCACAAUGGGACUGCGACACGGCCCAUACACCUACGGGUGGCGCAGCAGGGAAUUUUCGGCAAUGGGCGCAAGCCUGACCGAGCGACGCCGCGUGGAGGAUUGAAGGCCUUAGGGUCGUAAACUCCUUUUAUCAGGGAAGAUUAUGACGGUACCUGAUGAAUAAGCACCUGCUAAUCACGUGCCAGAAGCCUCGGUAAGACGUGAGGUGCAAGCGUUAUCCGGAUUCAUUGGGCGUAAAGUGUUGCGUAGGCUGAUUUGCGCAUUUUGCUUAAAAUGCUAUGGCUCAACCAUAGUUUUCGGCAAAAUAUGGCAAAUCUAGAAGGAUAGAGAGGGUACUGGAACUCAUCGUGUAGCAGUGAAAUGCGUUGAUAUGAUGAGGAACACCAAAGGCGUAGGCAGGUACCUGGCUGUCCCUUGACGCUGAGGCACGAAAGCUUGGGGAGCGAAGUGGAUUAGAGACCCACGUAGUCCAAGCCGUAAACGAUGGAUGCUAGUUAGGCUGAUUUUUCGGCCUGACGUAAGCUAACGCGUUAAGCAUCCCGCCUGGGGAGUA
rnacentral:rRNA from 1 species